rnacentral:rRNA from 1 species
UCGAGGAUCUUCGGCAAUGGGCGCAAGCCUGACCGAGCGACGCCGCGUGUGCGAUGAAGGCCUUCGGGUUGUAAAGCACUGUCGAGGGGGAGGAAGCCGAAAGGUUGACCUAUCCCUGGAGGAAGCACGGGCUAAGUUCGUGCCAGCAGCCGCGGUAAGACGAACCGUGCGAACGUUGUUCGGAAUCACUGGGCUUAAAGGGCGCGUAGGCGGAUAUCCAAGUCAGGGGUGAAAUCUUUCAGCUUAACUGGAAAACGGCCUUUGAUACUGGAUGUCUGGAGUGAGGUAGGGGCAUGCGGAACUUCCGGUGGAGCGGUGAAAUGCGUAGAUAUCGGAAGGAACACCGGUGGCGAAGGCGGCGUGCUGGACCUCAACUGACGCUGAGGCGCGAAAGCCAGGGGAGCAAACGGGAUUAGAUACCCCCGUAGUCC